AAAAACCACAGAGAAGACCAAACAACGAUAAAAUCUUCCCCUUCAGCGAAAUCGUCGAGAAGGAGAUUGAGGCUUGCUUUGCCAGACAAAUCGUAAAGUCCUCAAUCCAGAAACAAAAAGAAAAAGCUGUUGACUAUGGCGGUCGGUGGGAGCGACAAUUAGAAAUUGCUAAAUUAGAAGCUUUCACCGGUGCAUCCUCUACCCAAAAACAGUCUUCUAGCCUCUGCAUACCUUCCUCGCCAUUGCAUGCGCCACGGAGUUGCCCUCAAGCGCGACGAAUUGAAAAUGACACGCCAAGAACCUCUUUGCCCGAGCUUUCAAAUCACAGGUAAGCGGUCGAGUUUCUGAGUAGUCUUCCUAGUUUGUAUUGAUGUUGUUGAUAACUAGUCUUGAGUCACUUUUAAAGAUAACAUAUCUGAAGCCCAUCUCCGACGCAAACUGGACGCUGUGUAACAGAGCGGUUGCUUCAGCCAAAGCCACAGACCCUACGAGGUGAUGGACUAAAAAAUUUGAACCCAUGCCUCUUCAUUUCUGAUGAUAAAACCCGAUACUGUCUUUUGUCUUGUAGCCAGGAAACAAGCAUCAAUGUUUACUUUUACCCAACCCGAUGAAGGGGGUUCCAGUAGAUCAUAUCCCUAGGUCUGGGAUGUUGAAGAUUCGAUGACAGCUCUCGAUAUUCCAUACCGAAACCCCUGAUGAAGGUAACUACUUUGUCCGCACUCUGUGUUAGUUUCUCAUGUGCAAGUUUGUUACGAAAGUACCAAAUAGUCCAAAUUAAUAUUGCAAUUUCUUCUCUGCUGCUACUGGCUGGAUUUUCAGAGAGCCAAUUUAACCACUCAUUAAAAUUGAAAUUUGCAACUAAAAUUGACCAUUGAUAGUUUAAUUUCAUCCACACUUGUUUAGCUAAAGAA
rnacentral:lncRNA from 1 species